AGUCGAUUAUUCAUAAAUAAGAGUAGUGGACAGAAGUGAUUUCUGAGGAAUUCUACAAUGAGACU
ensembl:snoRNA small nucleolar RNA SNORD75